UUUCAUCACAUUUUGUCUCAACAUUCAGGUAUGAUUUGCAGAUGACUGAUAACAACCAUCAUGUUGUGGAAAAGAACACAUCUCUCAGAAAGUUACACAUGCGCAUCAAGUUUUUGUUUGCCCACUAAGCCCAGCUAUGACCAUGCUGACUCCUUCGCAGCAAGCAUGACCUCCUCACAGGAAGAAAGGCAUACUCAUCUAUAAGGUGGCUGGCCUUAUGAAUCAUAUAUCAGAUGCUAUGUGGCCCUAUAAUUGCUGGAUGGCCUGGUUCACCAACAAUUCAAAUUAAGAUGAAGCAGCCUAAGAAUUAAGA
rnacentral:lncRNA from 10 species